rnacentral:rRNA from 1 species
GACGAACGCUGGCGGCGUGCUUAACACAUGCAAGUCGAACGGUGAAGCCCCACUUUGCUGGAGUGGAUCAGUGGCGAACGGGUGAGUAACACGUGAGUAACCUGCCCCUGACUCUGGAAUAACCGCUGGAAACGGCGUCUAAUACUGGAUACGAGAAGGGUCCGCAUGGGCACUUUCUGGAAAGUUUUGCGGUUGGGGAUGGGCUCGCGGCCUAUCAGCUUGUUGGUGAGGUAAUGGCUCACCAAGGCGACGACGGGUAGCCGGCCUGAGAGGGCGACCGGCCACACUGGGACUGAGACACGGCCCAGACUCCUACGGGAGGCAGCAGUGGGGAAUAUUGCACAAUGGGCGAAAGCCUGAUGCAGCGACGCCGCGUGAGGGAUGACGGCCUUCGGGUUGUAAACCGCUUUCAGCAGGGAAGAAGCGAGAGUGACGGUACCUGCAGAAGAAGCACCGGCUAACUACGUG